rnacentral:lncRNA from 1 species
UAUCAUUCUUUAUGGUGUUAUCUGUUCAGCUGUGGAAUUGGAAGUGAAACUCAUGUUCACAUCCAUGCUAAAAUAAAUACCGUUGCAAAGGAUGGUACUGUUUGAGUGGGUGGUUGAUGAAACAGCUUUCCGUUCCUGGUCGAUAUAAUCCUCCCUGCAUUCAGCAAUAAACGCUGAAUUUAUUUGCUUUUUAUAUCCAGGUCGUCCUUGCCUUAUCCAGAUCCUCAAGGCUAUGGGGUAGGAAUGGAUUAAUUAUUGCACUGGCUGUGUUUUCUCUAUUGACCUUGCUUCAGAUACUUUAUCUACACAGCCCCCUGAUGGUUCAGAGAAUGUGGGGGCUGGAACAUGUUCUAAUGUUUGGUGUGGGGGGCUGGAACAUGUUCUAAUGUUUGGUGUGGGGGG